GUGGGGAAUAUUGGACAAUGGGCGAAAGCCUGAUCCAGCCAUGCCGCGUGUGUGAAGAAGGUCUUCGGAUUGUAAAGCACUUUAAGUUGGGAGGAAGGGCAGUAACCUAAUACGUUAUUGUUUUGACGUUACCGACAGAAUAAGCACUGGCUAACUUCGUGCCAGCAGCCGCGGUAAUACGAAGGGUGCAAGCGUUAAUCGGAAUUACUGGGCGUAAAGCGCGCGUAGGUGGUUCAGUAAGUUGGAAGUGAAAUCCCCGGGCUCAACCUGGGAACUGCUUUCAAAACUGCUGAGCUAGAGUACGGUAGAGGGUGGUAGAAUUUCCUGUGUAGCGGUGAAAUGCGUAGAUAUAGGAAGGAACACCAGUGGCGAAGGCGACCACCUGGACUGAUACUGACACUGAGGUGCGAAAGCGUGGGGAGCAAACAGGAUUAGAAACCCUUGUAGUCC
rnacentral:rRNA from 1 species